rnacentral:rRNA from 1 species
UUUUUUGUGGUUGACCUCGGAUCAGGUAGGAAUACCCGCUGAACUUAAGCAUAUCAAUAAGGCGGAGGA